AGCUGAGUGGCGCAGCGGAAGCGCGCCGGGCUCAUAAGUAAGUUGGACCAACUGCCGGCUCUUGAAAUAUAUAUACUAACAGUCAACCAGCCCGGAGGACCUACGAUCGAAACGUAGCUCAGCUA
rfam:Paraphaeosphaeria sporulosa strain AP3s5-JAC2a unplaced genomic scaffold CC84scaffold_1, whole genome shotgun sequence.